GGCCGGGUCCCGUGCAACGGCGGCUUGUGAACCCCGUCAGGUCCGGAAGGAAGCAGCGGUAGCAAGACUGGCUGUGUGCCGCGGGGAAACCCGGCCACC
rnacentral:SRP_RNA from 1 species